GACGAACGCUGGCGGCGUGCUUAACACAUGCAAGUCGAACGGAAAGGCCCUGCUUUUGUGGGGUGCUCGAGUGGCGAACGGGUGAGUAACACGUGAGUAGCCUGCCCUUGACUUUGGGAUAACUUCAGGAAACUGGGGCUAAUACCGGAUAGGAGCUCCUGCUGCAUGGUGGGGGUUGGAAAGUUUCGGCGGCUGGGGAUGGACUCGCGGCUUAUCAGCUUGUUGGUGGGGUAGUGGCUUACCAAGGCUUUGACGGGUAGCCGGCCUGAGAGGGUGACCGGCCACAUUGGGACUGAGAUACGGCCCAGACUCCUACGGGAGGCAGCAGUGGGGAAUAUUGCACAAUGGGCGGAAGCCUGAUGCAGCAACGCCGCGUGCGGGAUGACGGCCUUCGGGUUGUAAACCGCUUUCGCCUGUGACGAAGCGUGAGUGACGGUAAUGGGUAAAGAAGCACCGGCUAACUACGU
rnacentral:rRNA from 1 species